AUUUGUGUGAAUUGGAAAAUAUUUUUUUGCAUAUCCAGACUCCCCCUGAGACAUUCUUGGAGACCUGGGGUCACUGUAAAUGGAGGAUUCAUUCAAUUAUGAGGAUAAUUGAGUUGCCGGUUGUUGCGUGUGCUAUGGAUUACUGCGCUUCUCCAAAAGAAAGAGAAGAAGGAGAGGGGGAACAGGAGAGGGGGAAAAAAGGCCCAUAUUGUGCGACGCCACCGCAGGGAUUGUCUGACGACCUCAGGAGAGCGAACAAGUCCCGUUUUAGCCCCGUGAGGAGACCCUGACCUUGCAUGCUCCUCCCUGCUCCAGGUGCAAGCCCUCUCUCCGCCUGAGCUCACACACACUGGAGAACCUGGGGGAAACGCUGUGUGAACACACAGAUCCUUUUCACAUGUCUUUUCUCCUCUUUGUAUCAUUGUAUUGGCUCGGGGUGAGUGUUCUAAACAGGAAGGUCUUAGUGUCAUUGUAUUGGCUCGGGGUGAGGGUUCUAAGCAGGAAGGUCUUAGUGUCAUUGUAUUGGCUCGGGGUGAGUGUUCUAAACAGGAAGGUCUUAGUAUCAUUGUAUUGGCUCGGGGUGAGGGUUCUAAGCAGGAAGGUCUUUGUAUCAUUGUAUUGGCUCGGGGUGAGGGUUCUAAACAGGAAGGUCUUUGUGUCAUUGUAUUGGCUUGGGGUGAGGGUUCUAAACAGGAAGGUCUUUGUAUCAUUGUAUUGGCUCGGGGUGAGUGUUCUAAACAGGAAGGUCUUAGUAUCAUUGUAUUGGCUCGGGGUGAGGGUUCUAAGCAGGAAGGUCUUUGUAUCAUUGUAUUGGCUCGGGGUGAGGGUUCUAAACAGGAAG
rnacentral:lncRNA from 1 species